GCAGCUGAGCUCUGAAAGACACCACCAAAGAUCGUGGCCAGACAACUGUGCUCCAGGACCGGGCCGGGGUUCACUUGAUCUGCGUCUCUUUCCAUCUCCAAGGCCUUGCGGAGUGAAAACGGCUGUUGCAGAUGUUUGCUUCAUGAACAGGCUACUUUUGAGCAUCUUGAAACCUAAUGGAAGAUCAGAAUGGGGGGAUUAGUGAUUAAGAUUUUGCAAGGAACAAGAGCAAAACCUCUCAGGACCAGCCCUUAAAAAAACAUCUGUUUUCAGGGAAGACUUGAUCUGAGGUUUUCUGCAUCAUCAAGGAGUAGAAUGUUGAACUGAUUAUCCAGUCUUCCAAAGUGGAUCUUUCAAGAUGUAGAUUGGGAUUGGCCUGCCUCCACCUUCUGCUCCCGUUGGACUCGGGUCAUCCCUGAUCUCAAGAGAGACCUGGUUAGUCCCGGACAUCUCCAAAGUAUUCUACAUUUUCCCUCCCUGUGUUCCUUCUGAGCUGGGAAAGCCACAGAAUUACCUGAAUUUUCCCCCUGAGCCUUUGGGCAGGGGAUGACCUGGGAUGAGGACAAAUGCUCCAGGAAAGCUUCUACAGUGAGCUGAGUUCUUCCUGGCAUUGGAUUUUUCGUGCAGACUGUACCAUUACCUCCUUCCCCUCAGAUUUACAGAACUGAAUACCAUUAAGAGGAAAAAAAAGGUAAGGGAGAGCUACAAGAGGUUUUGAGAUGAGACUGGAAGAAAAAAGUGUUAUCCUAAGCAUCACGGAGGAAGCUUCACAUCAAUAAACUUUGGAGUGGUUAUCUUCAUUCACUUAA